UACGGAGGGUGCGAGCGUUGUCCGGAAUCACUGGGCGUAAAGGGCGCGUAGGCGGCGCGAGCAGUCAACGGUGAAAGUCCGGAGCUCAACUCCGGAUCGGCCGUCGAUACUCUCGUGCUCGAGCACUGUAGAGGCAGGUGGAAUUCCGGGUGUAGCGGUGGAAUGCGUAGAGAUCCGGAAGAACACCGGUGGCGAAGGCGGCCUGCUGGGCAGUAGCUGACGCUGAUGCGCGACAGCGUGGGGAGCAAACAGG
rnacentral:rRNA from 1 species